rnacentral:rRNA from 1 species
CACGUAGGGCGCAAGCGUUGUCCGGAAUUAUUGGGCGUAAAGAGCUCGUAGGCGGUCUGUUGCGUCCGCUGUGAAAACCCGGGGCUUAACCCUGGGCUGGCAGUGGAUACGGACAGACUAGAGGUAGGUAGGGGAGAAUGGAAUUCCCGGUGUAGCGGUGAAAUGCGCAGAUAUCGGGAGGAACACCGGUGGCGAAGGCGGUUCUCUGGGCCUUACCUGACGCUGAGGAGCGAAAGCCGGUAGGGAGAAACGGG